rnacentral:miRNA from 1 species
AGUGUACUUCCUGAGGCCUCU